AUAAGUUAAUAAGUGAUAACUUUCAGACAUUUACACCACACGCUGCAUCCCCAAAACAUUUCCAUACCGAAUCAUUCGGGCCCUCACAACCCGACUGUGUUACAGCUUCUUCUCCCAAGCCAUCAGACUCCUCAGUACUCGGAGACUGCACUGAUACACACAUGCACGCACGCACACACACACACACACACACACACACACACACACACACACACACACACAGAACUAAACACCAUCCCACUCCCACUGAAAUAUUUGCACAUUCCUGCAUUGACACUGUUGCAUUUUUGCUGCUACUGUAUUAUACAAAUAUCGUAUUUAAUUUAUUGUCACUAUAUACACUUUAUGUGGCUGCUACCACAAUAACUGCUAUGUCCAUAUUUGGUAUAAGCUAAUUUGCUGAAUACUCAGUCAUAGCAUGUUAUGUUUACAUUGAUACAAUUUUACCAUUAUAUUGUUACUCCUUGGCACCUGCCUUCUGCACUACCUGUUAUAUCAGACACUUCCACACUAAAACUGUGUAGGAACUACCACUACUAACUACUGGUAGGAACAACAUCUUUGAAUCCUACAUGAGGAGACAUGGAUACCGGCUUAACUGAAUCUAGAGACUUCUCGGUUUAUUUUGGUUUUUCUUCCCUUCCCCUUUUGAUCCUGUCAUUGUGUGCUUGAGAUCGUUACCGUUGUACUGUUUGAGUUCAUUUCUUCUUCUCAGGUCACGAUUUCCACUCACGCUAAACACUGGAGCACGCAGCAUGGUCCAAAGAGCAAGCACGCGCUUCCGGAUUUUCAGUGACAUUGACUUUGUUUACUUUCUACACGUGCAUCUGUUAUGGUUUAUGUUAUGUUUCCAUCCCUGUAUUGUCAUUGGUUGUAUCUGGUAUGUGUCAUCAUAAGUCUCAGCUGUUUUGUGUUCAUUACGUUUGUCAUUUAAACCCCUCGUGUCUCUUUGUACUUCGCGAAGUAUUGCGUGAGUUUUCCAAAUAACUGCUCCACAUCUGAGAGACUGAGACGGCCUCUCAAGCCAAGUUCCUGUCUAAGGUCGAAGAGAUGGCUUCUCAGGACAAGUUCCUUUCUGAGGCUGAUGAGGGAGUCUCAUCUCCAGAUCUCCUGCUAGAGGUCAAUGAGACAACCUCCCAAGCCAUGUUGCUGUCUUAGGUCAACAAGGUGACCUCCCAUGCCAAGUUCCUGCCUGAGGUCGAAGAGACAGCCUCCCAAGCCAUGUUCCUGCCUGAGGUUGAAGAGAUGGCCUCCCAAGCCAUGUUCCUGCCUGAGGUUGAAGAGAUAGCCUUCCAUGCCAUGUUCCUGCCAGAGGCUGACUAGGUGGUCUCAUCUCCAGAGCUUCUGCCCCCCUUCUAAUCAGGAAAAAUCUUCUGAACCAAUUCAAUCCCUUGAUCGAACUUCAAACACCUGAAGAUGUGGGCCCGAGUUUGAGAACCUCUACCCUUCGAACAAGCAAACAAUGCUGAGGCACACUGCCAAGCAACAAACACUUCAUCACUGUCAUCUGCGAGUUCAACAAGUUGGCAGAAUGCGUUCUCGCCCCCAAUGACACAACCCAAACCACAGCCUGUCUCCUGAUGAACCACAUCUUCUCAAGGUUCGAACUACCCCGAGGGUAAAUUCAGACAGAGGCACCCACUUCACAGCUGAAGUCAUGUAAGAAGUUUGGAAACUCUUAGGCAUACAAGCCCAACUUCACAUCAGUCACCACCCAAUGUCUUCUGGCCAAAUAGAAUGGACCAAUUGAACCAAUCCCAACCAGAAGGAUUGGGACAUAAAGCGUCCAUUGGUACUAAUGGCCAUCAGGGCCACCCCACACAAAUCCACCAGUGUGCCCCAUUUGAACUGAUGACAAAUGACUCUGCCACUCCAUCUGCUAUACCAGCCCAGAGACAUGAACCUCGUAACAGCCUAUGCCACUCAGCAAUAACUUGAAGAACUACCCAACUACCUACACACCACAAUUGCCUUUGCACAACAACAGCUCCAGAACAGCGCAGAAGGUUGGAAAGCUUACUACAAUCAAAAGGCAUCACACUAGCAACUCAAGGUGGGGGAACGAGUGUGGUAUUACAGGUUUGUUCAACCACGACAAACUGCC
ensembl:lncRNA